UCGGGAAUAUUGCGCAAUGGAGGAAACUCUGACGCAGUGACGCCGCGUAUGGGAAGAAGGUUUUCGGAUUGUAAACCAUUGUCGUUAGGGAAGAAGAAGUGACAGUACCUAAGGAGGAAGCUCCGGCUAACUAUGUGCCAGCAGCCGCGGUAAUACAUAGGGAGCGAGCGUUAUCCGGAUUUAUUGGGUGUAAAGGGUGCGUAGACGGGAAUACAAGUUGGUUGUGAAAGCCCUCGGCUUAACUGAGGAACUGCAACCAAAACUAUAUUUCUUGAGUAUCGGAGAGGAAAGUGGAAUUCCUAGUGUAGCGGUGAAAUGCGUAGAUAUUAGGAGGAACACCAGUGGCGAAGGCGACUUUCUGGACGAAAACUGACGUUGAGGCACGAAAGUGUGGGGAGCAAACAGG
rnacentral:rRNA from 1 species